rnacentral:rRNA from 1 species
GACGAACGCUGGCGGCGUGCUUAACACAUGCAAGUCGAACGGAAAGGCCCUGCUUUUGUGGGGUGCUCGAGUGGCGAACGGGUGAGUAACACGUGAGUAACCUGCCCUUGACGUUGGGAUAACUUCAGGAAACUGGUGCUAAUACCGGAUAGGAGCUCCUGCUGCAUGGUGGGGGUUGGAAAGUUUCGGCGGUUGGGGAUGGACUCGCGGCUUAUCAGCUUGUUGGUUGGGUAGUGGCUUACCAAGGCUUUGACGGGUAGCCGGCCUGAGAGGGUGACCGGCCACAUUGGGACUGAGAUACGGCACAGACUCCUACGGGAGGCAGCAGUGGGGAAUAUUGCACAAUGGGCGGAAGCCUGAUGCAGCAACGCCGCGUGCGGGAUGACGGCCUUCGGGUUGUAAACCGCUUUCGCCUGUGACGAAGCGUGAGUGACGGUAAUGGGUAAAGAAGCACCGGCUAACUACGUG